GCCAGAGCCGUAUCUCCCUGCAGUUCUUGCCUGGGUCCUGAAGAUAAGCGGGGUUGAGCCUGGUCAGAACCUGGAUGGGAGACCUCCUGAGGAAAUCUAAGGUUGCUGCUGGAA
rnacentral:rRNA from 1 species